rnacentral:rRNA from 1 species
UACGGAGGGGGUUAGCGUUGUUCGGAAUUACUGGGCGUAAGCGCGCGUAGGCGGACUAUUAAGUCAAGAGGUGAAAUCCCGGGGCUACAACCCCCGGGAACUGCCUUUGAUACUGGUAGUCUUGAGUUCGAGAGAGGUAAGUGGAAUUCCGAGUGUAGAGGUGAAAUUCGUAGAUAUUCGGAGGAACACCAGUGGCGAAAGGCGGCUUACUGGCUCAUACUGACGCUGAGGUGCGAAAGUGUGGGGAGCAAACAGGAUUAGAUACCCCUGUAGUCC